rnacentral:rRNA from 1 species
GAGGGGAAUUACCGGAGUUAAACUCCAAACCCAUGUGAACAUACCUACUGUUGCUUCGGCGGGAUUGCCCCGGGCGCCUCGUGCGCCCCGUAUCAGGCGCCCGCCUAGGAAACUUAACUCUUGUUUUAUUUUGGAAUCUUCUGAGUAGUUUUUACAAAUAAAUAAAAACUUUCAACAACGGAUCUCUUGGUUCUGGCAUCGAUGAAGAACGCAGCGAAAUGCGAUAAGUAAUGUGAAUUGCAGAAUUCAGUGAAUCAUCGAAUCUUUGAACGCACAUUGCGCCCGCCAGUAUUCUGGCGGGCAUGCCUGUCUGAGCGUCAUUUCAACCCUCAUGCCCCUAGGGCGUGGUGUUGGGGAUCGGCCAAAGCCCGCGAGGGACGGCCGGCCCCUAAAUCUAGUGGCGGACCCGUCGUGGCCUCCUCUGCGAAGUAGUAAUAUUCCGCAUCGGACAGCGACGAGCCCCUGCCGUUAAACCCCCAACUUUCCAAGGUUGACCUCAGAUCAGGUAGGAAUACCCGCUGAACUUAAGCAUAUCAAUAAGCGGAGGAACA